AGAACGAACGCUGGCGGCAGGCCUCAAACAUGCAAGUCUAGGGGGUGUAGCAAUACAUCACCGGCGGACGGGUGCGUAACACGUGGGAAUAUACCUUUUGGUUCGGAACAACGCAGGGAAACUUGCGCUAAUACCGAAUGUGCCCUUACGGGGAAAGAUUUAUCGCCAAAGGAUUAGCCCGCGUCCGAUUAGCUAGUUGGUGAGGUAAUGGCUCACCAAGGCGAUGAUCCGUAGCUGGUCUGAGAGGAUGAUCAGCCACACUGGGACUGAGACACGGCCCAGACUCCUACGGGAGGCAGCAGUGGGGAAUAUUGGACAAUGGGGGCAACCCUGAUCCAGCAAUGCCGCGUGAGUGAUGAAGGCCUUAGGGUUGUAAAGCUCUUUCGCCCGCGACGAUGAUGACGGUAGCGGGAGAAGAAGCCCCGGCUAACUUCGCGCCAGCAGCCGC
rnacentral:rRNA from 1 species